UACGUAGGGCGCAAGCGUUAUCCGGAAUUAUUGGGCGUAAAGAGCUCGUAGGCGGUUUGUCGCGUCUGCUGUGAAAGUCCAGGGCUCAACCCUGGAAUGCCGGUGGAUACUGUCGGGCUAGAGUUCGGAAGAGGCAAGUGGAAUUCCUGGUGUAGCGGUGGAAUGCGCAGAUAUCAGGAGGAACACCUAUAGCGAAGGCAGCUUGCUGGGACGACACUGACGCUGAGGCGCGAAAGCGUGGGGAGCGAACAGG
rnacentral:rRNA from 1 species